rfam:Felis catus isolate Cinnamon breed Abyssinian chromosome B3, whole genome shotgun sequence.
GCCUGGGUGGCUCAGUCGGUUGAGUGUCUGACUUCGGCUCAGGUCAUGAUCUUGUGGUUCAUGGGUUCAAGCCCCUCGUCGGGCU